AACGAACGCUGGCGGCAGGCCUAACACAUGCAAGUCGAGCGAGGACUUCGGUCCUAGCGGCGGACGGGUGAGUAACGCGUGGGAACGUGCCCUUUGCUUCGGAAUAGCCCUGGGAAACUGGGAGUAAUACCGGAUGAGCCCUUUGGGGGAAAGAUUUAUCGGUGAAGGAUCGGCCCGCGUUGGAUUAGGUAGUUGGUGGGGUAAUGGCCUACCAAGCCGACGAUCCAUAGCUGGUUUGAGAGGAUGAUCAGCCACACUGGGACUGAGACACGGCCCAGACUCCUACGGGAGGCAGCAGUGGGGAAUCUUAGACAAUGGGGGAAACCCUGAUCUAGCCAUGCCGCGUGAGCGAUGAAGGCCUUAGGGUUGUAAAGCUCUUUCAGCUGGGAAGAUAAUGACGGUACCAGCAGAAGAAGCCCCGGCUAACUCCGUG
rnacentral:rRNA from 1 species